GCUGAUGAGGACAUGAUGAAAUAUUCAUUUGUUGGAAUCAGGAAAAGAUGCAACUGUUCUAUAAAUCUGCAUUUAGCUUCAGAACUUGAUUUUUUUAUAUAUAUUUUUCAGCUCAUGCAGUCCAAUUCUCUCAUUAUCAGUGUAUACAAACUAAAACAAGGAAGAAGUUUCCUCACUACUCCCAGCCUGACAAGAAAGCAAGAUGUUCUUUUCUUUAUGCUUAUGUUACACUGUUUUUCCCUAAUUACAAGCCAGGAGAGGGCUGCAGGGCAGACAGGCACAUGGGGAACGCUAUUUAUUGGUAGGAUCAUUUUGGUGCAGCUGCUGCCCUGACUGGGCAGAGAGAAGCUCCCUGUGGCCCUGAGAUUCCAGCACCUCUCAGGGAAGGCCUGGACAGGAGACGCAAAACCAGGACCACCAGAACUCAUGUGCCAGAUCAGGAUGCACUGCAUUCCCGCUUCCAAAACCGCCCUGAAGAUUCACUUUCCUUUAAAGGCUUGUCUGGACGAGGAUAAAGGUGUAUUUAAAAAAAAAAAAAAGUGCCAGUGAAAAACUUUUAAUUAACAUGAUUUCAGACCCGCAGUGUUGACGGGGUGUGUUGUAUUUUAGCGCAUUUGCCAGCAAACGUGUUAAAAUACAUUUGUGUCCUGUCUACAGGUAACAAGUUGGGACAAGUUUCCAAAAGUUUCAACAUUUAAUUGGAAUUAAAAGUGCUGACUGAGGUACUUUUACCCUGGCUGGGGCUGGGUGUCGUACAUGGAUUUUCUGGAGCUCUGAGAACAGCUGUGAGGCACACACUAUCAGCAAACACUGUGUCACAGGUGAGCAGCCAUAGCUGGGAGGCAGUGGCUCUGUGGGUUUGCUGGGCAGCACCUCCUGACUUUCCAUCAGCCCUAUCUCAGCCCUCCCACUUCCCAACAGGAGAGUGUGAAACCAAUCUUGGGCAAAACAUGCUGCGAGGAGUCACAUGUGGAAGCACUGCUGACAAGCUGAUUUCGGGGGUACAGCGUGCAACUGGAGAUCAGGCACUGGGCUAAGUUGUAGAACAUAGAAAUGGUUGAAAACCACACCGUUUGCAAAGCAUAUGCCGCCAAAACUCCCACAGCUGCUCUGUGCAGUGUUUCAGUGCCACCGCUCUGAGAUCCACGCGCUGCUACAGAAGAAAGGGAACUCGCAGAUGCCCACGCAGGUGAAAUCCCAGUGCAGGUGGACAGACGGAUGGCUUCUAGUGCUGUCAGGUCCUGGCACGGUCUUCAAGGAGGUCUUCUCCAUGAGCUGGUAUCUCGACUAGCGUGAAAAAGACAAAAUAAUAGUUAAAAAAAAGAGAAAACCACGAUCCAAAUGAAGAGGGAGCAGAGCAAGCACCGAGCUCGGAGUUCCCUCGGGAAGUGGCUCACGAAGAUCUCCGCCUCUCCUCGCCCCUCCGUCGCGCAAACGCCCGCCGAGCACCCGCGGUGCCCCGAACGGGCGUGUCCGGGCGGGGGGGGUUCCG
ensembl:lncRNA